AUGAAUCGCCAGUGAGUGCGCUUGUAUGUGCUCCAUUAGUAAGAAACGUGUUUAUAUUCCACGUGGAAAGGGCAGAAGGAAAUAGUGCAGCAGAGAAUGCGUCGAAUGUAACCCCGGUGGACCUAGCCCCCCCACCAUUGUGAAUCAAUUUAAGAAUGGCUUCAAGUUUAGAGAUGGUUGAGCUGAUGCAGUGGUGCUUUUAAAGUACGUAAGCUGUCGCUUCAUUGACCUACGGUGCGAGACCAAGUGAUUAAGCAAAGUUUGCACCGAUCUUCCCAAAUGGACGCAUCUUUGAUGUCUCUUGACAGUUACAAUACAAAUGGAGAAGAUUUCUUGAUUGCGGUAUAAGUUCAAUAUGAAACUCUCCAUCUUAUAACCCGUUACAAGAAGGUACACGGGUUGCUACACAGAAAAUUGGACGUUGCCAUUGACGUACCCCAUAUCCAUGUCAUCUUCAUGCAGCUAUCGCGGAAUCUUACACCAAGUUAAAUGUUGUUAUCGGUGUUGAGCAUAUGGUCUUCACCGGCAGAUCAUUGAUCGGCGAAAAAUCUGGUACUGGAGAAUCGGAGGAUCUGCAAUGAAUCCUGAUGACCCUGCCUACUCCAUGGCUGAUAUCAGCUCAAUGGAUUGGUUUCGGAGAAGACAAUUUGCACUUUCCUGGAAUGAACUUCCACCUCGCAAGUCAUCAAUUGGGACUCUGUCAAUAAUUGGCGACAAUUCUCACGCAGGUCCACUCUAGGUUAGGUUGAAAUGGGCACCUUUCGCUGUACCUAUCCAUAGGGAAGAGGACCACUUAAAACAAUACAAAUUUAUUGUAACGUGCUAAAUUAGAAAGUGUAAUUUAAGAUUUUGUUAAUAAACUUACUCACCAU